AUGGCAGAAAACACAAAAGUUAGUGAAACAAGUAAUAAUAUUGUAUCGCAGCUUUAGCCUAAGUGUUGUGAUGUCACUGAGACGGUGAUUAAAAAUUAUUGCGAGAAGAAUUCAAGAAAGCGCGAAUAUAGUUACGCAAUUAAUGAUGAUGGAAAGGUUUAUUAUUCAUGCGCCGCAACACUUGACAACAAUUUAACAAACCUGAUUUGUAUCUGAUGUCAAACUUUUAAAGAAGAUAGUAGUAGCGGCAGCCGCGAGAGGACAAGUGAAUUUAGCAACACUGUAGCAACAUUUAAGUGUUUUGCAGUUUUAUCCUGAAUAUUAUGAUGUCUUUGUGAUGGCAGUCGAUUUAAAUGGAAAGCUGUUGGGAAGAAAAUUCAGGAAGGUUUAUAACCUUCCCGAGACACCUCCAUGUCUCCUGAUAUACUAGGUCAAUUGGCGAUAUGGAGAAAGAUUUAAUAUUUAUGCAUUGUAA